CACGUAGGGCGCAAGCGUUGUCCGGAAUUAUUGGGCGUAAAGAGCUCGUAGGCGGUCUGUUGCGUCCGCUGUGAAAACCCGGGGCUUAACCCUGGGCUGGCAGUGGAUACGGACAGACUAGAGGUAGGUAGGGGAGAAUGGAAUUCCUGGUGUAGCGGUGAAAUGCGCAGAUAUCAGGAGGAACACCGGUGGCGAAGGCGGAUCUCUGGGCCAUUACUGACGCUGAGGAGCGAAAGCGUGGGGAGCGAACAGG
rnacentral:rRNA from 1 species